CUUCUCUCUAGAACUCUUAUUUUUCCUACUUUACCUUCUUUCUACCCUUACACAAAUUUCAACUUUUGCAUUGAUAAAUAGGUGAUGUUCUUUCGUUCACGGAGUUGAGAGCUUCGCAACCAUCCGAUUAGAUUCUCGUUCUUCAACGGGGUUUGAUUGGGUUCUCUUUGAGUUGGGCACUCUUGAAUCAAGUUGUGAGCUUAGCUAUGAAACCCUAAGAGAUGGAUGAGGUGCCUCUGGAGCAAGCCUUGGAGGAAGAUGAUGCCGCUACUUAGUCUUCAUAGGACUUUCUUAGUUACUUCCUAUAUUUUGAAAUAUCCUAGUAUGUUAAAGUUUUAAAUUCCAACCAUAUUUGGGAUGGCUGUAAGCUUAUCGACUUUAUUUAGAGUCUACUCUCAUUGUUCUCUUUUAUUAUA